ensembl:lncRNA
CUCCACGGUGCUGUAAGUGUAUAUAAGGCUGCUCUCUCCCCAUAAAAGUGGCUGAGCUCUGAAGAAGUGGAAAAAUGAUGGAAAGGCUCACAUAGCACAAUCGGCCGGACAUCUCUGCUUUAACUAAACCUCCAGCUUUUGCCCAAUACUUGGACUUAGUCGUGGUGCACACGCCACAAGUGGAGGUUCCGCCAAGAAUGCCAAAGAAAGGGGACCCUGAGAAAUUGCCCUUCGAAAGGCCAGUCCCAGCAAACUAACAUGGUUUGAUGAAGCAAGAUCCCCUGAAGCAAUGGCCAGGAGAUCCAGCAUUGAAGACACCUGGGAUGAUGCCGUCAUAGACCACUACAGUCAGGAUUUCUGGGUUUUCUUAGGAUCCCUAUGGUAUUUCAGCACCCCCGAUCAGCAGGAAGCAGUUUGGAGAGCACGAUGCCCAUAUUCCCAAAUAUUGUUUAUAAAUAUCCUGACAGUGACCCAAGGUCUCUAAAGAAGAUUAUGGGGCUCCAUGGACUGUGACAAUGCUGACCAGUGAGCAUGAUGCUCGGAUGCUACACCUGCUGCCAGGCAGGACUGGGAUCAGACUAUGGACAGACUACAGGACACUGGAGAAUUGAUUACACCACUUUUGCCUAGACAAAAUAAGGUCAGUCUUUUCCGUGUCCCUCUUCCACAGAGAAACUCUCACUUUAUAGACCUGGCAAAGAUUUACUUCUGCCCCCAACACUAUUGAGACUUGGAUAUGGCUAGCUGUAUAUGAACUGCACCCUGUCAUUUUCAAUGGAUUCGAAAACUGUAUGAAGUUUGUCCUUCUCAGAUCUCUGAUAGUAUUAAUGGUUAAACUAUAGCCAGCUUAAUAGAUCAUUUAAUAAAGUUCUGAUAAGCUGAUAAAGCCAACUGCCUGCUGUUCAGUCACAAGCUCAAGGUUUUUGGGUUUACUUUGGUUGUCUAAAUGUAAACUUGAGGGGCUUUUCAUUGGUCCAGGGGCACCUCUGUCCCAUCUAUGCCUGACUCUCUGGACAGAAGAGAAAUGUGCAGGCCACUAGCCCAAAUCUCUAGUUUUUACUAGAAUUCAAAGAUAUAAAUAUAUUUCUGCCGUUCUACAAAUACCCAAUAUCUGCUUUGUACUUAUCUACAGUCCUUUUACAACUUUUGUUAUCCUAUCUAUUUGUUCCUGAGGAUGGGAUUUUCUCCCUUGUCUUGGAAUUCCUACCUUCUUGAUCACUAAAAAUAUGGGGCCUAAGAGUUCCAAUAAGAUAAGUUUUAACUUCUGUUCCCAGUUUAAACAUGUCUCAACAGAUUUCCACUUCUGGUAGAUAGAUGAAUGUCAGUUGCUGACUACAGCCUGCUCCUAAAGACUUCCAGCCCUGUAUUUGCUGUGGAUGUUAAUCAGUCCAGCUGAUACGGACACCCUCUAUCUCUGCAACAGAGUCUGCCAACCAGAAGGUCCUGAUGGAUUCCCCAUUACCUAAAUUCUUUUUGGCUUUUGACUAGCAUUUCAGCUUUUUUGGGUCCCUAACUUCGUCCAAAAGUCAGCAGGAAGUAGCAUAGAAAAGAAAACGUCGCCCAUUUUCCCUGGUUAAAAUGCUAAGUCAAAAGGAACUCCCUUACAUGGGGAAAUGCCAAUAUCUCUCACUCCCUGACGGGAACUCGGAAAAGAUGGCUGGGGUUGGCACCGGAACCGCAGCACUGGUCCAGGUACCCCACCACUAUAAUAAGCUACAAACAGCCAUAGAUGAUAUUAAAGACCUAAAAGAAUCAUCUCUAAAUUGGAGAAAUCUUUGGCUUCUCUGGCGGAAGUUGCCCUCCAGAAUCAUAGGGGACUUGAUCUUCUUUCCUUCAGGAAGGCGCACUCUGUGCUGCCCUAAAAGAGGAGUGCUGUUUCUAUGUUAACCAUUCUGGAGUUAUUAGGGGUUCCAUGGCCAAGAUCAGAAAGGCUCAACCAGUGGCGAAAUGAACGGGAGUCUCAACAAGGCUGGUAAAAGGAUGGUUUAACAGCUCCCCUUGGCUCACUACCCUAAUCUCCUCCUAGUUCUUAAUCGAUGAUAUCAGGCUCUCAGGCAAUGAGAAGGACCAUAGGUUUUAGGAUUAAAACCUCACAAAAAAUGGAAUGAUUUUAGUUUAGAUUUAGAUUUUAGUUCACAGAGAGAAAGUUUCCCACAGGCCUUGGCCCAUUACAAGGAAGUUGGCCCCAACCCCGGGCACAUCCUAUGGUUUACACGGGGGCAAUCACAAAGACAACACUCCUUGGGUCACACCUGGCUGGCCAACAGACAAUCGAGGACUUUUCAGGGUACAGUCUGUGGUUUUUCCUUUGUAGAAAAGCAGGUCACACCUGGGUGACCACUCUAACAUGAGAUCAUACUUUUGUAAUCAAUCACUUUGUGCCCCAUGCCUGUAUGCUGAUCUUCGUUUUUUUCCUAAAUAAGGAGCUUGCACCCCAUGCUGGGGUGUGCAGCUUUCCCGAUAUUGCUGACACCCGAAUUUGCAUUCAUUCAAAACCCUCUUGCUUUUGCAGCUCUUGGUCUG